UACGAAGGGGGCUAGCGUUGCUCGGAAUUACUGGGCGUAAAGCGCACGUAGGCGGCUUUCUAAGUCGGGGGUGAAAUCCUGGAGCUCAACUCCAGAACUGCCUUCGAUACUGGAGAGCUUGAGUCCGGGAGAGGUGAGUGGAACUGCGAGUGUAGAGGUGGAAUUCGUAGAUAUUAGGAAGAACACCAGUGGCGAAGGCGGCUCACUGGUCCGGUACUGACGCUGAGGUGCGAAAGCGUGGGGAGCAAACAGG
rnacentral:rRNA from 1 species